AAGUAAAAGUUUUGAACUACUCAAGAUUCGUAAUUUAACAUAACUUUUAUUUCUGAAUAUUCUAUUUUUAAGUGGUAGAACCUGCAGAUUCUUUCACAAAACACUUAUCAAUUCUUAUAAAUAAUGGUAAAUUCCCUUUGAAUCCAGAAAAAGUACACAGGAACAUUUUACACACCCAAGUCAAACCCCAAGGCCAAUUUGAAUAAAGUGAAAUUUGGUUAACAUGACAAGUUAACUUUUGUCAUCCUUUACUGAAAUAAUUUUUUGACAGCAUUUUUUAUAUGUUGGAAAUAGGUGUUGUUUUUGUUGGUUAAGUAUUUUCAAACUAAGACAUUUCCUGACUUCAUUUACUGCUAUAAAGUUUAUAGUGAUCUUUUAAAAUGAUAAUAUUUUUAAGUAUUAAUGUUCAAAAAUAUGUACUGCAGUAAAUAAAAAAACUAUCAACCUAUUGAUUUCUAAGGUUCACUUUUACUCUACAAUUCUGUCCUUUUCUGUGGGAAUUUUAUAUUUCUUAUAACAGAUGCACCAGAGGGUGCUGUGCUGUUUGCAACAUGAGAUUAUUAUCACUAAGAAUGUGAACUCACUAGAACUUUUAUUUAAAGAAAAAAAUUUUUAAUUAUAUAUGCAUUGAAGCAUAUAAUAGGCUUAUUUUUAUGGAGUUUAACAUACUAUCUUAAUUGGCAGUUUUACAUCAGAACCUAACUUCGUGUACUAAUACAUAUUACCGCAACAUAUAACAAUAUAAAGAUUGAUAUCUUUGGCACUGUCUGGCAUUAGUCCUAUAGGCAUAUAUGUUGAUUAUCUUAUGUAGAUAUUUUAAUCUUUAUUUCAAAACUUAGGUUACCCUGAGAAUCAUACUAUUUGGCGAUAUGUGGCUUUAUACUUCUUAAAUUUCAUAUGAUUAGCACAUAUCAAUAAUUGUCCAUUCUUAUAACACUUUUACAUGGCAUAGUGAUAUGCUUUUUAUUGUAUAAUCUUUAAAAAAACCACUGGAAAAAUAAAUGGCAAUAGUGGUUAUCAGGCUAAUUCAUAAUAAAAUAGUAUUGACAUUAUCUAGAUAAUUCUGGCUGGUUGUAUUGGUUCACAUUUAUAAUCCCAACACUUUGGGACUGAGGCAGAAGGAUCACCUGAGGCUAUGAGUUCAAGAGCAGCCUGGGCAACAUAGCAAGAUUUCAUUUCUGUAAAAAAAAGUAAAAGAAAAUUAGCCAGCCUUGCCGGUGCGUGCCUGUAGUUCAAGCUACUCAGGAGACUGAGGUGAGAGAAUUUUUUAGCCCAGGAGUUUCAGGUUACAGUGGGCUAUGAUCAUGCCACUGCACUUUAGCCUGGGUGACAGAGCAAGACCCUGUCUCAAAACACCAAAAACAGAAACGAAUGCAAUCCGUACUUCAUGCUGUUGGAAUAGGCUAGUUUGAUUGUUUAAUUUGGCUUAUUAUCUGAAAACUUUUAGGUUCCCAGCCCUACUGUGUGCCAUAUACUUUUAAACUGGGAGUGAUCUUAUAUUGCUUUUUGUAUUUUAUUUGUUCAGUGAGAGAUUUUUAGGAGAAUACUGAAUCCAAUCUUGGGCUACUUCUUGUAUCAUCGACUCUUUUCACAGCAAUAUAUACUCUAAAAGACAUACUGAAACAGUGAUACCUUCCUUAAGUAAGCUUAGAAAGAUACAGUUACAGCAUAUAAACUUUUUAAUCUUGAUAAUGGAUUUAUCUGUACUAGUCCAUAUUUUACUAUAAUUAGUUAAUUGUGAUAUUUUUAUAAAAUAAUUAGCCCCAACAUAUCAAUUAGACUGACUCUCAGCUUAGCCACCUCCUCUGCUUCCUUUCGCCAGUGAAUUUGACACAGAUUUAAAAGGAACUUUUGGGAAAAGUUUAGGAAAUGUGAUUUGGAUGGUCAGGUUAUGCAGUCAUACAUUACUUAAUGAUAUGGAUAUGUUCUGAGAAUUACGUAGUUAGGUGAUUUCAUCAUUGUGUGAACAUCAUAGAGUGUACCCAACACACACCUAGAUGGUAUAGCCUGCUACACGCCUAUGCUAUAUAGUAUAGCAUAUUGUUCUCGUCUAUAAACCUGCGUAGCAUGUUAUUGGACUGAAUACUGUAGGCACUUGUAACUCAGAGAUAAGUAUUUGUGUAUCUGAACAUAUCUAAACGUAGAAAAGAACAAUCAAUACUGUUUUUGUGCACUGAUUUUUGCAUUAUCCAUCUCUUGGAGGAUCAUUAGGAACAUUUAGUAUUUCCACCUUAGUGCUAUUUUCUUGAGGCAAAGAAAGAUUAGGGGAACUGUCUGAUGAAGUUCUUUGAAUGACCUUCGUGUAGUUUUGUGAGCAAUUUUUAAUAGUGUCUCACAUUGUAUGAUGAUUUUUAGAGGCUACUUUCAGUUAAUAAAGGCCAUGAAUGCUGAAAUUGAAUUAAAUUGUAGUUAAAGACAAAAAUUGUAAUUCAUUCCAAUUAUAGGAGGUUAAAAUAUUGUGCUGUUGGAUCAACAUUUGAUCUCCUUAUUUUUAGAAGUCUGCCAAGUUUUGAAUUGUAAAACCUUUUAAAUAAUAUUGAAUGAGUAGAGCUGUAUAGUAGUUGUGGGUUUAUAUUUCAGCAAAGAUUUGAGUGCCAUAUGUCUUGGAAGUAAGGUGGGAUUCUUUUAUCUUGGAACUUGGAAAGAGAUUUAUUUUAAUAUUUUGAUUGGGUUAGGUUUGCUUGAGCAUUUUUGGGGGUUGAUAGAAAUGCAAAUGACUAUGGACUGGAGAUACAGAUCAGAGUAAUUUGUGAGAGGAGAACAUAAAGGAAGAGACAUCUAAGAGCUAAUGUACUGAUAGUUUAUGAUAUCACUCAAAGCAGUUUAAUAUUUUGUGGUUUAGUAUCUUCAGGGAAUGAGGAGGUUCCUUCUCUUAGUUUUUUUAUUUGACUGAGGCCAGACUGGUAUGAAAGAAGUUUAUUUUACAAUUCUAAAAUCUAUAGCCAAAAAAAAAUCGUUAUUCAUGUAAUAAUGGUCUUACUACAUGAAACUAUUCUAUAAUGAGCAGACUAGUAUUAUAACAAAUAGUGAUUAAUGGCAUUUUAAUAAACAACACAAAAUUUAUACCUAAAUCUUUUUAAAAGCUGAUGUUUCCUUGUUUGAACCUAAUUAAAUGAUUAAGAUAUGAAGAGGGUUAUAUAUAAUUCUAACUGACAUUAGGAAACAUCUUCAUUAUGUAAUUCUGCCUAUUAGAUUUUUAUACUUUUCAAAAGUAAAUAGAAGAUACAGUGUAUGAAGAAAACACCAGUAUAAAGUUUAAUGAGCCAAACAAUAUGUGAAUAAAACGUAAAUUUUGGUGUCAGAUACUCAGUUUGGUGUCAAAUAUUCAGCAUUAUGUGCCUGUCAUCCAUUAUGAAAUGUACAGUUUCACAGUAUUCGAGGCUAUUCUACUGUAUUGGACUACUUAAAAAAUGUUCUUUGGUCAGAUGUUGCCUUUACACCUCUCAGUGUACUUCAGCUCUCCUUUAUUGUUGAUUUCUUGGCCUUUCUUUUUUGGAUAGUUGUUCCACAUUCCUCUGUUUGUUGCUCUGGGGUACUUUUAGAGAAAUAGUUAAUUUCUUUUACUCUGCUUCCUGUAGUGUGUAAUGAGAAGAAAUGAAAGCAACCAUUGAAGGACAGAUAACUGGCUCUUUAAAAAGGAAUAAGGUAGUGCAGUUGACAGGUUAUUUAAAGGGUUCCCAGCUCAGAAUAGUUAAGUUGAAGGGCUAAAUGGUUCCAAGAAUGUAGAGAAAAUGUCUCACUUAAAAAAAAUUAACUUUCCAAAGUUGCAGGAUGUGUCUUGAAUUGUAGGCCAAUCACUCCUGAAAAGUAUUAAGCCCUUUAAACACACUGGUUGGACCCAUAGAGGGAAGCCUACAGGUUUAUUAGUACUCCUUAUCCUGAAAGCACAGCAUACCCUUUUAGGUUGCACAGCAACAGACUCCUAGCAACCGUAAUAGAUUGAAUUUCUAAGAGUGACCAGGCCGGAUGUAAUAAUAAAGCAAGAGGUACAAACAGUUGUCAUGGUUUUCUUUUCACGCAGCUCCUUGUAGUUUUAUGUGAUUCAAGGGAUGUUCAUAUAAAACUGAUGAUUAUGAUAAACUUAAAAUUUAUCUAAGAAAACAGGCUAUUUGAACUGUACAUGAACAACAUUUUUUGAAAUUAAGAACUAAUAAGUAGUGGAGCACAGAAUUUAUUAAAGAAGAGUAAAGUGUUAAAAUAUAUAAUCCUUUACAGCGACAGUAAAAGUAUCGGUGAUAUUCCUAAGAGUGUAACAUUGUGCUUCUUUGUGGUAUAGGAUAUGAGGAGAGUUUUGCAGGAGAGGGUAGCAGCUGAAAAUAGUAACAUGGCAGUAGACAAUCAGAAACAAAAUUGUUUUCAAAGAGGAAUGUUAUGUACUGUAUGUUAAGUCAUUUUCAGUAUUGGGCAAUUUAAAGUUAGAAUUCUUCAUAUUGAUAGAAUUACUAGGUGAGAAAAACUAAUUAAACUACCAAACUUGUCCAGACUCUCACUAUUGUCUACCUCCAUUUUUCAUAUCCUGGGCUCUUUGCCAUAGCAUGCCCACAAGAUCAUCCUGCAGGCAAUGUUGCCCCACCCCUUGCAAGCUAUCUGUUGACUACCCUGUAGGCGUAGAGUUGAGUAUGCCUGAAUCUCCAUCUGUCAUGAGGAGUAUAGUCAAGAACUUUGCAUGGGAAUUUGGGGUCCUGGGAAUGUGCUGAAGUAGAGUCUGAAGGACUCGGGGAGCAUGGCCCUGGGCUGUGCAGACUUCUUGCCUCCCAAGGAGGUACCUGGCCAGAGGGCCAAAGCAAGCUCUCUAAAGUGAGUGGCCCAAGGGCAAUGGGCCCUCUCGCCUGAGUCUCACGGUUGUGCUGGAAGGGACAUCUGACAUGAGUGUCAAAUGAGCAGGGCUUAUUUACUCUUAGUUAUGGGGUAUGAGAAAAUGUGAGUGAAAAAAGAUGAAAGAUCACUGGGUUUCAGGAGAAUUAUGGAGCCACUGAGAAAGUAGGACAGUAUUUGGGAGUUGGUAGAAUGGGACCUGAAUGUAGAAUAGCCAUGUUUUGCUCACCGUUAUAUCCUCCAGCACCUAAUUACCUUCUAGCACAUUGCCAAGCAUCUAGUACUGAUUCAAUAAAUUUUGAAGGGCAGAGUAGAUAUUUUGAAUAGUUGUGCCAGAGAUGAAAAUAAAGUCAUUGUAGAAUAUAGAAAGAAACAAGGAAAAUAAGGUCUUGUGGGUGAGGCCAAUGUAGCACUUUGGAUUGUAGGUAGAUAGCAUCGAUUAGCAUGGUCAUCUGUAAACUAUUAGUAUGGGGAGACUGUAUUAUAUAUUUAAUUUUUGUAUGUGUGAUACCAAACAACUAGUCUUUCUUAAAUGAAUAAUUGAAUAAUAUACAAGAAGGAACUUUUAAGAAAUGAAUUGGAUUUUAAAGUUAAGAUGAGUGACAGAAAUUUGUAUCAUCAGUAAACUGGUAUACCUGAGGAAGUUGUAAUCAUAAAAAACAAAGAGAUCCUAAGCAACUGUGGUUUUUGCUCACAAUGAGAUAUGAAACAGUGAAAGAUAUGUUCAAAGAAUAGGUUUUAUUUGUAACCUAUUUGGAAAGAAGAACACAGAUGACUGUAGACUGGCCUAAAAUUUUCACUUGAUAUUUGCAAGGUGUAUAUAGGGAAAGGUAGUAGGAGAAAAGGAUUAGAAGUAAUGGAGUAGGGUGAAUUAUAAACAUUUAUAACUGCAGAUAUGUUUGACUCAUGUUGCUCAAAAUUGUUAAGAAGUAUUGUGUAGUCGUUUAGUUAAUAACAUAUAAGGCCUCAUGUCAGAAAAUAUACUGAGAGUAAAGUAAGAAAAUGUAAUAAUAUGGUUAAAAUUGCCAAAUUCUUUUCGAGAAUCCAAGUGUGUUGAUUAUUGUAGAUUAUUACAUUUUUGAUGUAUCUGGUUUGUUAUCACCUAAAUACACAGCAAACACCUGUGAUUGUUUUAGUGAUCCUUGUCCUGUCUUCUUCAAGUAAUCUCAAAUAUGUGUAUUUAGACUGUUGCCUAUUCAUAUAUACUCAGCUGUGCCUGUUUGCUUUGUUACUUUUCUAUGUCUAAUGGAGCAAUAUAAAAAUUUAUGGCAACUGUCACUUAAUGUCACCUUUACCUUUAAAGAAAAAAGGUAAAGCCAAAUCAUGCCGGGUAACUACGAUGCUCUUUAUAGUUAACUAAAUUAUCAGAUAUACGUUGUAAUAAGUUGAUCUCUGAUAUCAUGGGCCAAAUUUAGGGAACAUACAUAAACACAUACAUGUAAGUAUGUUUGUAUAUCAUUGCUACUCCACAUUUACUUUAUUAGCCAAUAAAGAUCAUUAGUUUAAAAAUAACUUGUGUAUUCUCC
rnacentral:lncRNA from 1 species